rnacentral:rRNA from 1 species
UACGAAGGUGGCAAGCGUUGUUCGGAUUUACUGGGCGUAAAGGGAGCGUAGGUGGUUCGGUAAGCCCUCCGGGAAAUCUUCAGGCUUAACCUGAAAAGGUCGGGGGGGACUGCCGGGCUAGAGGACGGGAGAGGAGCGCGGAAUUCCCGGUGUAGCGGUGAAAUGCGUAGAGAUCGGGAGGAAGGCCGGUGGCGAAGGCGGCGCUCUGGAACGUUUCUGACGCUGAGACGCGAAAGCGUGGGGAGCGAACAGG